AUUACAAUAAAUUUUUUGAAUAGGAUUUAAAAUCUUUUGUUUUGAAAAUUGUAUUGAUUAGCAUUGUAUAUGAUUUAGCUACCUAAAAAUUUUUCAAGACAAUUCAAAUAUUUAAUGUCGUCCAUUUUCAAUAAAAAUAAUUAAGAAAUGAUUUAAACAUUAAUACCUAUAUUUUAUAUUACAUAUUUCGGAUGAUAACAAAAAAAUUGUACACUAAUCGACAGGGAAUAGACCAUAGACUAACUCGGAACGGAAAGGUUAGAUCCCAUGUUUAUCUGAAUGCGCUCGUUUCACACUGUUUAGGCAUAUUCUAGGCUUUUAGCAACUUUCAGU